rnacentral:tRNA from 1 species
GUAGGGAUAUUUUAAAAAAUAUGGGGUAACAGGACUUCGAAUCCGUAGGCCGGGGGUUCGAAUCCCUCCGGGCGUACCA